rnacentral:rRNA from 1 species
UCCCCUUCGGGGGACAGAGUGACAGGUGGUGCAUGGUUGUCGUCAGCUCGUGUCGUGAGAUGUUGGGUUAAGUCCCGCAACGAGCGCAACCCUUAAGCUUAGUUGCCAUCAUUAAGUUGGGCACUCUAAGUUGACUGCCGGUGACAAACCGGAGGAAGGUGGGGAUGACGUCAAAUCAUCAUGCCCCUUAUGAUUUGGGCUACACACGUGCUACAAUGGACAAUACAAAGGGCAGCGAAACCGCGAGGUCAAGCAAAUCCCAUAAAGUUGUUCUCAGUUCGGAUUGUAGUCUGCAACUCGACUAUAUGAAGCUGGAAUCGCUAGUAAUCGUAGAUCAGCAUGCUACGGUGAAUACGUUCCCGGGUCUUGUACACACCGCCCGUCACACCACGAGAGUUUGUAACACCCGAAGCCGGUGGA